rnacentral:misc_RNA from 1 species
GAUGAAGAACGUAGCGAAAUGCGAUACGUAAUGUGAAUUGCAGAAUUCAGUGAAUCAUCGAAUCUUUGAACGCAUAUUGCGCUCUCUGGUAUUCCGGAGAGCAUGCUUGUUUGAGUAUCAGUAAACACCUCAACUCCCUUUUCUUUUUUGAAAUUGGAGCUGGACUUGAGUGAUCCCAACGCUUUCUUCCAAGAAAGUGGCGGGUUGCUUGAAAUGCAGGUGCAGCUGAACUUUUCUCUGAGCUAUAAGCAUAUCUAUUUAGUCUGCCUAAAAAACAGAUUAUUACCUUUGCUGCAGCUAACAUAAAGGAGACUAGUUCUUGUGCUGACUGAUGCAGGAUUCACAGAGACAGCUUCGGCUGACUUUGUAAACUCGAUCUCAAAUCAAGUAAGACUACCCGCUGAGCUUAAGCAUAUCAAUAAGCGGAGGA